CGUACUGUUAACAUUAGCUGUGAAGAAG
rnacentral:sRNA from 1 species